rnacentral:rRNA from 1 species
UACAGAGGUCCCAAGCGUUGUUCGGAUUCACUGGGCGUAAAGGGUGCGUAGGCGGUCGGGUAAGUCUGACGUGAAAUCUUCAAGCUUAACUUGGAACUGCGUCGGAUACUAUUCGGCUGGAGGAAUGGAGGGGAGACUGGAAUACUUGGUGUAGCAGUGAAAUGCGUAGAUAUCAAGUGGAACACCAGUGGCGAAGGCGAGUCUCUGGACAUUUCCUGACGCUGAGGCACGAAAGCCAGGGGAGCAAACGGGG